UACAGAGGUCUCAAGCGAUUGUUCGGAUUCAUUGGGCGUAAAGGGUGCGUAGGCGGCGCGGUAAGUCGGGUGUGAAAUCUCGGAGCUUAACUCCGAAACUGCAUUCGAUACUGCCGUGCUUGAGGACUGGAGAGGAGACUGGAAUUUACGGUGUAGCGGUGAAAUGCGUAGAUAUCGUAAGGAAGACCAGUGGCGAAGGCGGGUCUCGUGGACAGUUCCUGACGCUGAGGCACGAAGGCCAGGGGAGCAAACGGG
rnacentral:rRNA from 1 species